rnacentral:rRNA from 1 species
GACGAACGCUGGCGGCGUGCUUAGCACAUGCAAGUCGAGCGGAAAGGCCCUGCGCUUGUGGGGUGCUCGAGUGGCGAACGGGUGAGUAACACGUGAGUAACCUCCCCCUAACUUUGGGAUAUCUUCAGGAGACUGGGGCGAUUACCGCAUAGGAGCUCCUGCUGCAUGGUGGGGGUUGGAAAGUUUCGGCGGUUGGGGAUGGACUAGAGGCUUAUCCGCUUCUUGGUGUAGUAGUGGCUUUCCAAGGUUUUGACGGGUAGCCGGCCUGAGAGGGUGACCGGGCACCUUGGGCCUGCGAUACGGCGCAGUCUCCUACGGGACGCAGCAGUGGGGAACCUUGCGCAAUGGCGCGGAGCCUGAUGCAGCAGCCCCGCGUGCGGGAUGACGGCCUUCGGGUUGUAAACCGCUUUCGCCUGUGAUGAGGCGUGAGUGACGGUAAUGGGUAAAGAAGCACCGGCUAACUACGUG